UUCUAGAUGGAUCAUUGCUUUAGUGAAGCUGUACGAACUCGGAGGUAUUUUUCUAUGCAAAUAUAUAUAUAUAUCCAGUGAAUUUGAAAACGUUGUGCAAUCAAACACGUGCCAAUUAAAUUGAAGUUCUGGUGGAUUGUAUUAUUCGGUUUGGUUUAAAGAAGACAAGAGGACUGGGAAUCUUACUACGUUCGACAUCGGGAAAGAGAAAAAGUACCAACUGACCCCUCCCAUAACGAAGUCGUCAAAGUCCAUCGAUUUCUUAGUAGAUCUGGGAAAGGCCUCGGAUUUCCCAGGAACCAGCAUCUACAUAAACCCACGAUAACUACAACCAAAUAAACUAGCAAAAACCGUCCGAAGAUAUACUAGAGUGAAGCUUGAAGUUAUGUGGAUGCAUACUUAAACUGAUGUACUUCUUGGAGUAAGACGACAAGAAUGGUCUUCUGGCGAAUUCGGAGAAACUAAUAUGCCGCACUCGUCACCCUUCUCGCUUACGAGUUAAACGCGCGGCUAAAGCUUUCGCACGUAGUUUCUUCGUUGUGUGUGUAGUGGCUUCCAAACUGGGGAAAUAAAAACAUUAUUCUGCUGCGAUCCACACUGCCGUUUAACAGUCGUCGUAUCAGAAUGUACCAAAGUAUCAAUUUUGAGUCUCUUUAGGAGAUUUUCCAUUUUCUUUGUUUUAUUAAAGAUUAAAUUCCUUACUAGCUAUUCAUCUUAGUUCUGUAUUGUAUAGACGUUAAGAAAAAAAAACAAACAAUGUAUAUAAUGACCCAUAAUUAAAAUCAGCGCAAGUGAAAGCCACAUAGUUUUAAGAUCAGCCGUUAAGUUGCAAAGCGUCGUCGAACUGGUAUGGAAAUGAUAUAAUUGGUGUUUCAUCCGAAUUAGAAGUGAAGACAUGUAUAUUCAUAAUUUUUCUCCUUUCCUCAGAAUAUGUGCCCACGUCGCCCCUUGAGCUCAACGGACACGCCGGAUAUUUCGUAUAAAGUAUGAGUGAGUUACGAGCUUCCUUAAACGGAGAUCUCGAGUAUUUUCGAAGUAUAUAUGUACGUCUUGUAAAACUUCUAUUGCGGUAUGUUGAACAACCAUAUACAUACGUGCGAUAAUUAAAGCCGAUCGGCUAGUAAUUUUUCUUUCACGUUUGCCUUCUUUUUAUAUUAUUAUCCUAUUUUUUUUUUAUUCUUUCCAAUUUAAUUUCUUUUACGCCAUAUUCUCUACACCUAAGUCCUAUAUACAUAUACAUAUACAUUUAUAACUAGAUAUAAAUUGUUAUUAUUUCCUCUUUCUUUAUCUGAUUAAGUUGUAUUAAGUUUAUGCAUAUCCAGAAAAUCAUGAAGUCCAAACCCGUAAAUUUUGAAUUAUUAAAUAAUAAUUAGCUGAUAAUAAU
rnacentral:sRNA from 1 species